UUGCACAAUCUACAUUGGACCUUAGUUUGACAGGACAGGUCUCUUGUACAUUUGUGCAGGUA
rnacentral:pre_miRNA from 1 species